AAAGUUUAACAGCUUCUUCAGCCUGUUGAUACAGAAGGAGUGUUCUUCAUCGGUUUAUGGGCACUAUAGUCAGAAAGCCAAACUUGCUACCAAUUGAUUGCUUCAAUUGGCGGUAAAAUGGAUGCCAAAUAUAAGGAGAUCGGAAGAGCGACG